rnacentral:rRNA from 1 species
AUGAACGCUAGCUACAGGCUUAACACAUGCAAGUCGAGGGGCAGCAUGGUCUUAGCUUGCUAAGGCCGAUGGCGACCGGCGCACGGGUGAGUAACACGUAUCCAACCUGCCGUCUACUCUUGGACAGCCUUCUGAAAGGAAGAUUAAUACAAGAUGGCAUCAUGAGUCCGCAUGUUCACAUGAUUAAAGGUAUUCCGGUAGACGAUGGGGAUGCGUUCCAUUAGAUAGUAGGCGGGGUAACGGCCCACCUAGUCUUCGAUGGAUAGGGGUUCUGAGAGGAAGGUCCCCCACAUUGGAACUGAGACACGGUCCAAACUCCUACGGGAGGCAGCAGUGAGGAAUAUUGGUCAAUGGGCGAGAGCCUGAACCAGCCAAGUAGCGUGAAGGAUGACUGCCCUAUGGGUUGUAAACUUCUUUUAUAAAGGAAUAAAGUCGGGUAUGCAUACCCGUUUGCAUGUACUUUAUGAAUAAGGAUCGGCUAACUCCGUGCCAGCAGCCGCGGUAAUACGGAGGAUCCGAGCGUUAUCCGGAUUUAUUGGGUUUAAAGGGAGCGUAGAUGGAUGUUUAAGUCAGUUGUGAAAGUUUGCGGCUCAACCGUAAAAUUGCAGUUGAUACUGGAUAUCUUGAGUGCAGUUGAGGCAGGCGGAAUUCGUGGUGUAGCGGUGAAAUGCUUAGAUAUCACGAAGAACUCCGAUUGCGAAGGCAGCCUGCUAAGCUGCAACUGACAUUGAGGCUCGAAAGUGUGGGUAUCAAACAGGAUUAGAUACCCUGGUAGUCCACACGGUAAACGAUGAAUACUCGCUGUUUGCGAUAUACGGCAAGCGGCCAAGCGAAAGCGUUAAGUAUUCCACCUGGGGAGUACGCCGGCAACGGUGAAACUCAAGGGAAUUGACGGGGGCCCGCACAAGCGGAGGAACAUGUGGUUUAAUUCGAUGAUACGCGAGGAACCUUACCCGGGCUUAAAUUGCAGAUGAAUUACGGUGAAAGCCGUAAGCCGCAAGGCAUCUGUGAAGGUGCUGCAUGGUUGUCGUCAGCUCGUGCCGUGAGGUGUCGGCUUAAGUGCCAUAACGAGCGCAACCCUUGUUGUCAGUUACUAACAGGUCAUGCUGAGGACUCUGACAAGACUGCCAUCGUAAGAUGUGAGGAAGGUGGGGAUGACGUCAAAUCAGCACGGCCCUUACGUCCGGGGCUACACACGUGUUACAAUGGGGGGUACAGAGGGCCGCUACCACGCGAGUGGAUGCCAAUCCCAAAAACCUCUCUCAGUUCGGACUGGAGUCUGCAACCCGACUCCACGAAGCUGGAUUCGCUAGUAAUCGCGCAUCAGCCACGGCGCGGUGAAUACGUUCCCGGGCCUUGUACACACCGCCCGUCAAGCCAUGGGAGCCGGGGGUACCUGAAGUGCGUAACCGCGAGGAGCGCCCUAGGGUAAAACUGGUGACUGGGGCU